UCAUUGUGGCCCUGCAAGGCUAACGCCAUCACACAGCGGCUACAGCAAACUGGGCAGCAAGCAGAUCGCACAGGCUACACUACGAUAAAGACAAAAACUAGAAGAAAAGACUAUCAUUUACAACGGCAAUGGAAUAUAGACCUCCGGUUAAUUAGACGUCUGAGACUGUGCCCUCUGUUUUCGCGGUGCAUAAAGCAAUGUGGAGCAUAUAAAGAUCCAGAUACGCUGAAGACCAGAGAUUACCAUUUACAAAGGGCCAAGUCCGGCCUUUCAAACAGCGCCUGGCGGGGACCAAUAGAAAUGUUUCCCGCUCCUAAACAAUCCAAUCAGGCGUCCAGGGCUGCGUGGGAGGAGCCGGAUCACAGCACACUGUGGUAGUAGUAGUACAACUGGCAUGGUGGGGGAUUACUGCUUCCACGGACGCCAAUUUAAGCCAUUUCCAGAGGCCUCUUGGUCCCCUGGCCCCCUGCCUGCUCCCUGCUCCCUCUGGCUCCCUGCCUGCUCCCCCUCCCU